rnacentral:piRNA from 1 species
UCAGAGGCUGCCCAUAGUUAGAUCUGGUC